CCUACGGGAGGCAGCAGUGGGGAAUCUUGCGCAAUGGGCGAAAGCCUGACGCAGCCAUGCCGCGUGAAUGAUGAAGGUCUUAGGAUUGUAAAAUUCUUUCACCGGGGACGAUAAUGACGGUACCCGGAGAAGAAGCCCCGGCUAACUUCGUGCCAGCAGCCGCGGUAAUACGAAGGGGGCUAGCGUUGCUCGGAAUUACUGGGCGUAAAGGGAGCGUAGGCGGAUAGUUUAGUCAGAGGUGAAAGCCCAGGGCUCAACCUUGGAAUUGCCUUUGAUACUGGCUAUCUUGAGUACGGAAGAGGUAUGUGGAACUCCGAGUGUAGAGGUGAAAUUCGUAGAUAUUCGGAAGAACACCAGUGGCGAAGGCGACAUACUGGUCCGUUACUGACGCUGAGGCUCGAAAGCGUGGGGAGCAAACAGGAUUAGAUACCCUGGUAGUCCACGCUGUAAACGAUGAGUGNUAGUUGUCGGCGAUGCAUGCAUGUCGGUGACGCGAGACUACG
rnacentral:rRNA from 1 species